rnacentral:lncRNA from 1 species
GGAGCACCUUUCACUGGUCUGAAAGAAAGUGGCCCGAAAAAUAACUGAAAAAAAAAAAGUUAACACCUUAGUUUCAUCUGUACCUUCCGGGUCAUAUCUGAGAACUUUGCUUCCUGACACAAAACAAGUUUUUACUGCUGUCAGCACCCAAACCCUAAUUUAGCUGCGGAAGAGAAAAACUGCAUUGCCUUUUGCCUCCCUCAUGCAUCAUCGACACAGUUACCGGGGGGAUUCUAAUUCUAGAAAGCUUUAGGGCUGGUGAUGGGGUUGGUAAUGAUGUGUUCAAGGGAGCCUGGUUAUUAGUGCUGUAGUCUUACUGUUUGGUGGCUGCUGCUCCACCACAAAUCAGAUUAGAGUUGCAGAGGGAAAGCUAAAAUCCUGUUUUUGGUUUUUUUUUUUUAUUUUUCAGCCUUUUAAAAUGACUCAUAUCUGUUGGGGAACUCAUUACGUUUGGGGAAACAUGAAAUAGGAAAUACUGAGAUGUCAUUUCUAACAGCGUGUGGGUUUUGUGAAUGUCGGAAGGAUUUAAGGAAGCACGGCUCUUUCUUCUGUUUAGUGUAAUAAGCCACUCUUAAAAAGAGAGAGAGAAAGAAGAUUGGCCCCUGGUUGUUGUUGCGCCCCAGCUUUCCCUUCCGCAGCCCCAGGAGCCCCUCGGGGAUGCUGCGAGGGGGGCUUGGUGGGUGGUGCUGAGACCAGCGCUGUUGCCGCCGCCGGUCCUGCCGCUGCUGUUGUUGAUGCUGCUGCUGCUGCUGCUUGCUGCUGCUGCAGAGUCACGUGGGAGUCCCCUUUAAGUUUCCAUAGAGAGGCCUCUCCGGUGUCACAUGAUGGACAUGAUAUAAUGAAACAACAUUGUGGAGCGGAGAGCAUUCGGGGAGCCCAGGGCUACAAAAACAACCUCCUCCAGGACUGCACCUGUCUCCAAAGUCGUGAUAGUCAAAAAGGGGAAAUUCUAGAAGAAUACGAGCCGCCGCGAUACAUGCGCAUCUGUUUUUUCCCGUUUCCACUGCGCUCACAUGGAAGAAAACAAGAGAAGGAUUUUUAG